rnacentral:rRNA from 1 species
UACGUAGGUGACCAGCGUUGUCCGGAUUUACUGGGCGUAAAGAGCGCGCAGGCGGUCGUUCAAGUCGAGUAUGAAAGCCCCCGGCUCAACUGGGGAGGGUCAUUCGAUACUGAUCGACUCGAAGGCAGGAGAGGGAAGCGGAAUUCCCGGUGUAGUGGUGAAAUGCGUAGAUAUCGGGAGGAACACCAGUGGCGAAGGCGGCUUCCUGGCCUGUUCUUGACGCUGAGGCGCGAAAGCUAGGGGAGCAAACGGGG